AUUCCAGCUCCAAUAGCGUAUAUUAAAGUUGUUGCAGUUAAAAAGCUCGUAGUUGAACUUCAGACCUGGCCGGGCGGUCUGCCUUCUUGGUAUGUACUGUCUGGCUGGGCCUUACCUCUUGGUGAGCCGGCAUGCCCUUCACUGGGUGUGUCGGGGAACCAGGACUUUUACCUUGAGAAAAUUAGAGUGUUCAAAGCAGGCUUAUGCCCGAAUACAUUAGCAUGGAAUAAUAAAAUAGGACGUGCGGUUCUAUUUUGUUGGUUUCUAGAGUCGCCGUAAUGAUUAAUAGGGAUAGUUGGGGGCAUUAGUAUUCCGUUGCUAGAGGUGAAAUUCUUGGAUUUACGGAAGACUAACUACUGCGAAAGCAUUUGCCAAGGAUGUUUUCAUCA
rnacentral:rRNA from 1 species